AAGCGCCUGCAUCUCAGGCGCCAUUUCCUCUCUUUUUUCCUUUCCUUCCUUUCUCUGCAUUCUACAAACUUGAAACAAAAACUUUUAGCGUAAGCUUCCAAUGAUUUGAAGCUGUAAUGCCAAACAGGACCUAAAUGAAAUGGCUUCUCUUCACAUAUUGAAAUCCACUCUCUCUCCAAUUUCCCUUGCAGGCCCGUAUUUUCCCGGGAAAUCGGAUUCCAGGAAAGCAAUUCUCAGGUUGAGAAGUUUUAGUGCUGGGAGCUCUAAAAGAUGCUUCCAGAGACUGAAGUUUAGGGUUAACUGUUCAGUACAAGAAGGAGAUAAUAAUACCAAUGGUGAGGAACCACCGGAAUCGUUGUUCAUGAAGGAGCUGAAGAGGAGGGGAAUGACUCCGACUUCAUUGCUUGAGGACACCAAUAGAGGAAGCUAUGGAGUGGAGGAUGAGAUAAAGCUCGGAGAAGAGGAUAGAGGCUUUUCUAAAAGAAACGCUGUUUCAACUGAAUUUGGUCAAAGCCUUUCUAAUCAGAGAGAGCGUUCCAUGGCAUUGAACAGUGAAGGCCUUGAGGGUUUAAUUCCUCGUGCUAAACUUUUGCUUACAACUGGAGCAACCUUCUUUUUGGGAUUUUGGCCAUUGAUUCUCAUAAUUGUGACAUUCUUCUCUGCUCUCUACAUUGUAAGUCCCAUCUCUGUUCUUCGAUUUGUUGCUUGUUUUAAGUUUAUAAACCCGGUGCCUCACUAAAUUAACAGAGCUGUUUUCAUGAGCUAGACACUUGGGGAUUUGGAAAUUGGUAGUGACUAUUAUAUUGGAGUCUGUUUCUUUAGGGAUUAUAGACAUAGAUGUAUUUUAAACCAGGAUUUGAGCGGGUACUUCAACUAUUGUUAUUCUGAUAAUAGGAAUAACUUGGCCAUGAGGUCUACUUGGUGUAUAUUCACCAAGUAGAGACAAGGGUAUAAUUUUUUCAAAUCAUGGUGAGUCAACACGUAUUAAAUGCUAGACAGAGGUCAUGAAUAUGGCAAUCAACAAUGGAAAGGAAUCCAAAAGCAUAGAAUAGAUUGCGCAAUGACAUGACCAGAUUGGUUCCAAUUGAUCUUUGGCUGUUUUGGUUCAAAUCUAAAAUUAUCAUGUUGAAGAUCAAAUGAUCACAUACCAGUUGAUGGCAGGCAUACAAAGUUCUUAGCAAUCUUUUAGUUUGCUAUUUAGCAAUAUUUGGAAAUUGGGAAUUAGACCUCUUCUUCAUUUUUUUAAUAUGUGUUGGCAAAAAUUGAGUUGCAAUUCAACUUCUUGUUGGUAAGGCCUAUAUCUUUGAAAGUUAGGCAGAAUUUGAGUUGGAGAUAUAAAGCUUUUAAAAAUCCAGCUCUUCAUGUGGUCCUGCAAAUGAUUACUUGACCCUCUUAACACUCCAGUUUUUUUAUGUUUCCUGUAUAUUUGCUAAAUAUGUUUCUUUCCUGUUGUGUCAUAUUGCUAUCACAUAAUUUUGUCUUGCCUUUUGUUUCCUGAAAGCCAAUUAUUGAUACGUUUGUUUUUUCCUUGGGCAGUAUUUUGGACCGAAUUUUGUCCAUGAUGCAAGCAAGACGCCUACGUCACCAUAUGUCGAUUGAUCCAUAUGAAUUGCCGGAAGAUGAAAGAAUAUCACAAAUAGCUCCUAGUUUAAAAUGAAGGAGAAAAUAUUUGUAGGAACAUCGAAUUCUUAAAUCUUGCGAAGCAGAUCUCUGUAACUUUCUUUGAAUCCUUGUUAAUUCUUUCCUAUGUAAAUACUUCAUGCCUAUAACAGGCAAGAACAACUCUUAACAGGUUAAUUUUCAGUAUCUUUCAUUGUAUUUUUAAUCCAGUUGCUUGUUUAAUAAGCAUGACUGACUUCACUCUUGUUUAUUUAUGCUGAGCAACGAC
rnacentral:misc_RNA from 1 species